rnacentral:lncRNA from 1 species
UGGGAGUCACAGCAAAUACUCUCCUCAAGGCUGGCUACUCCUGACUAAACAGUGUUUUCAGCAAGAAAAGCCAAAAUCUUGCCCAGAGGCAGUGGAGUGCUCCAGAUGAGUCCCAUGCCUACUCCAGCAGCAGUGGGUGAGCUGUAUCCAGCCUCAGAGUCAACACGGGAAUAAAUGGAAAAUACAUUGAAAAGAGGGUUAUGUCCAUAUGGAGGAGGGUUGACAUGCAUUUCCAAACUGGGAAGAUUGAGUUAUUCCAGCCAGUUUUGCCCUUGGUUACCCACCUAAGAUGCCUGAAAAGAUUCAACAGGAUGUUGACCUGGAUCUCUCAGAACAGCUCAUGGAGAGGAAAGACCCUCUGACACAAAACCACGUCACUGGAGAGGGAACUGUAAUGUCAGGGAGGGCAUCUGGAAGAUCAAAGUGGGAAUAAACCAAUCACUCCAAGCUGUACGGCUUUGCAUGGCUGAGUUUUAGUUCCAGCUUUUUGAAGCACAACUCAUGAGUCGUAACAAGGAAACAACUUGUGUGUAAAAUUCAGUAAAUCGAAAAAGCUGGUUUGUGUAAAAUUCAGUAAAUGGACAAAACCAAAAAAACAACCCAGACCAAACACCAUGGGCCUGCGGGGGAAAAACUGCAAUUUAAUUUCUGUAGUACAGGCCUUUCCCAGAAAAGCCAGGCGCGGGUCAGCGUGAAAUGCAACACCACACAUCUGUGGGGGAGUCUGCCCAGCCCUCCCAGCCUUUUCCAUUUCCAUCAUUUGCCAUCGUUUGAAGCCUUCCAGGAUGACAACUCACCACCAGAGCCCAGCUCUUCCCCAGAGGGAGCUCUGGGACCCUGGGGCUGCCUGGAGUCAGGAGGAAGACACAGAGGAAACCUUGGCCGUGAUUGACAGUGGGGCUGUUUCUGCCACUUCC